rfam:Prunus persica cultivar Lovell chromosome G5, whole genome shotgun sequence.
AAUGAAGGUGAUGAUGUUUAUUUGUGUGAAUAUGAAUAUGAUAUUCAUUGGCACAGUUUCAAUCGUCCUGCUGAAAUU